AAUAUUGGGACAUAUAAAAAAAGACAACUCUGUUCCGCAGAGUAGCUGUUGACAUUAUAGUUGCGCAGGCACUUUGUUGACUCUAGAGAACCUCGGGCCAAUCGCACAUCCCCGUGGCGGCAACUUUGCAUGCGGAUGUCAUCCAUAUCAACUUUCGAUGCCGGUUUCUGCACCUACCAUGGUGACCAGGGGUAACGGGGAAUCAGGGUUCCAUUCUGUAUAAGGACCCUGAGAAACAGCUACCACAUGCAAGGAAGGCAGCAGGCGAGCAAAUGACCCACUCCCAACGCGGGAAGGUAGUGA